rnacentral:rRNA from 1 species
GUGCCAGCCGCCGCGGUAAUACGUAGGGGACGAGCGUUGUCCGGAAUUACUGGGCGUAAAGGGCGCGCAGGCUGUGCUGCAAGUCAGCUGUUAAAUGUCUGGGCUUAACCCGGGCAUGCGGUUGAGACUGCGGUGCUGGAGUGCUGUAGAGGCAAGUGGAAUUCCCAGUGUAGCGGUGAAAUGCGUAGAUAUUGGGAAGAACACCGGUGGCGAAGGCGACUUGCUGGGCAGCAACUGACGCUGAGGCGCGAAAGCCAGGGGAGCAAACGGGAUUAGAAACCCCAGUAGUCCCGAAAC